rnacentral:rRNA from 1 species
UAGCCGUAAACGAUACUCGCUAGGUGUCGGCCACGGUGCGACCGUUGUCGGUGCCGUAGGGAAGCCGUGAAGCGAGCCACCUGGGAAGUACGGCCGCAAGGCUGAAACUUAAAGGAAUUGGCGGGGGAGCACAACAACGGGUGGAGCUUGCGGUUUAAUUGGAUUCAACGCCGGAAAUCUUACCGGGACCGACAGCAACAUGAAGGCCAAGCUGAAGACUUUGCCGGAUUAGCUGAGAGGAGGUGGCAUGGCGUAGUCGUGU